GCACAUCACACUAUAAAUAUUCGCCCAAAAGGCACUCUAGCGCUAGACUGUGGAGUUUCUGUAGUGUAGUGGUCAUCACGUUCGCCUAACACGCGAAAGGUCCUCGGUUCGAAACCGAGCAGAAACAGCUGUCCCCUUUUGAAGAAAUGUAUGAACCCCUUUGAGCCGGCAGUUGGCUUCAGAAGGUUUAGCCUUUAUGCGCAUUUUGCUGAGCCUGCACACAAUGAUUUCGGACUUGCUUAGGAAGUGGGUUUCCGUAGUGUAGUGGUUAUCACGUUCGCCUCACACGCGAAAGGUCCCCAGUUCGAAACUGGGCGGGAACACUGAAUCUCUUUUCACAAUCGUUUAGGUGGGUUUCUGUUGAGGAGGAACUCAAUUCUAGCAAGGCUUUGCGGCCAAGAGGCAUGAACACAGUCACUAAAGGUAUAGUUGAUGCAGAAAUGAAAGAGCAGUCAUUGUUUGACCUAAACCUAUCCCACAACUGUGACAUUCCAAGCCUGUCUGGCUUUCUUCUGAGGAACACGAAAAAAGAGAUUUGCCUGAGUGGCCCUCUGUUGAGCAGCAGCUCUGCAUCACGAAGGCCCGUCUUUACACAGGUGUAGAGAUAAUUGUUAAGCCACACUAGGCAGCGG